GCCGCGGUGGUGGAAUGGCAGACACACAGGCUUCAGGAGCCUGCGACCGCAAGGUCAUGGGGGUUCAAGUCCCCCCCGCGGCA
rnacentral:tRNA from 1 species